GCCUGGUUAGCAUAAAAGUAAUGUAGCUGUUUUGUAACCAGCUGAAGCAAGUGCGAUACUUGCAUCGGGCU
rnacentral:tRNA from 1 species